rnacentral:lncRNA from 1 species
AGGCAACAGAAGUAUUAUGUAAGUUUAGAGGGGGACCCGGGAGUGGUCUUAGCGUUACUUGUACAAGGAAAAAUUCUUGUUGCUGUUCUUUUGAGUUUUGUUGUAUUUUUGUAAAUAAGAAAUAUGACUACAUUCUGUAAAAUAACCUUUCAGUUAUGAUUAUUUGCUGCAGAAGUCAUUUAAUUUUUUUUUAAUGUAGGCAUUCUCAAAAUUGGCAUCUGUGGACCAUUUAACCCACAGCGAAUUUUACAGUUUUAGCCCUGGUGAGAAAGAUUGGUUACCAUGUUAUCCAGAUGACAUGCCUGGUUGAUCACUUGAUUAAAUAAAAAGUUGAGUGUGUUAAACAAAUGAUUUCAUUUGCAGCCAGCCAGUGAGGGAGGUUCUUUGACAAGUAGACGUUCUUUAAGGAUUUUCCAACAACUCUUGGAUUGGACUGCUUCAGGUUCAGGAGAAGACAACUCUAAUGACCUUGAAAUUAACAGUAUUGCACUUAAUCCAAACACACCCACUCGAAUUCCAAGUCUACUAUCACAAUUCAGGUCUCCUGUGAUAUCGGAUGACUCCCCGGUUAAACCAGUCAAACAGAAGGGACUGAAGAACUCAAACAACUUAAAGCGGCAGCUAAAACAGGUGGUGCUUCCAUGUGGAGAGAAGCUUGGACAGAGAGAUUUUGAUGCUGUGGUUGUUAUUCCUAGUAAAACCCUGGUAUCCGCAUCAGAAGACACACAACAACGUCUGAAGGGUAUCUCAAUUUCUAGUUAUGUGAGUCGGGAUAAAGAGAAUGUGUUUCAUCAGGAAAGUGAAGGCCAGAAACCAAGUAAAAAAGCAAAACUUAGUACAGGUUCUCCCAAGAUGGCUGUUAGCGUUGAGAACAAGAAAAUACACAAAACACAACCGACCAAGAAGAAAGCUCCUGCAAAAAGCUGUCGUCGACGGUUACUUCCACAAGUUGAGGGACAGAAACAGAUCACUAGUUUUUUUAGAAUUUGAUUUUAUAUAUUUAUUUUAAAUUUGGGAACAUAAAUUUAAAUUCUUCUGAAUUAGUUUUGUUUUAACAGUAUUUAAAAAGAAUACACUUGUUAUUAGUAAAACAAAAUGGUAAAACAUCAAAUGUGAUCAUUGUGAAGAUAUUUCAGAAAGUCUUAAACAUGGACAGAAUAUGUCUGCACAUGACUCAACAUCUGCAUUGCAUAUUAAAUAUACAUAGCUUUAAGAAAAGUUCACAUGACUAAAGGAUUACUACAUUUUGUAUAUUCAGCCAUGAAUGUAAAAUAUUGUAGAAUAUUUAGAGAUAAAAUGUUCCCAAGACAUGGUUUGACAAGUGCUUAAAUUUUAUUUUCAUCAUGGAAAGUACUUAAAACUACUGGAAAAAAGAAUUUACCCCCAGGAAAGUCCUGGAAUUUUAUUAUUUUUUAUAUAUAUAUAUUUUUCAUUUAAUAAUAAUUAUUUGGAAAAUAUAUUUAUAAAUAAAUGCGUUUGACAUCUGGUUCCAAUCUAUAUCCUUUACAGAACAGUAAUUAUAAAAGGUCAACAACCAUUGGUCGACUGUUAAAAUAUAUACACAGUAAGAAGGCGUGGACAUAAAUGAACACAACUUGUGAUUGGUUGAAUAAAUUAUGUAACUGUCAGCAGUCUUGUUUCUGACGUUUUGAGUUCGAAACUACUGUCAAAGAUAAAUAAUUUAGUAGACGGCUGUAACCAGCACCUUCCAACAAAACAAACACUCUACGGCUUAUGUCUGCAAAGCUUCUGUGAAGUGAGACUCCUGCAAAAGUUGAGAACUUGUAGUUAACACAUAUUCUUUUGAUCUCCAUUGAAGUCUUAGACGACUCAGUACACACCAAAACGGUAUCCACAUGUCAAGGCAUGUCAACAAAGCGACCAAUUAACUAAGUAAACAAUUAUGGAUUAGUUUUGAUUGUUUGUGAUAUAAAUUGGAGUCCACUUCAAGAGAUUAUUUUUGUGCUAUCAAUAAAUAAUGUGAUUGACAUUUAGUUACUCAUAGAAACGGGUAUAAUUCUGGUAAAUUUUGUAUUUGAAACACUAUGUCACUAAUGAGUUUAAAAUAAUUAUUAAUAAAAAUAAAACAUGUUUAUAUGAUUUAUGUAAUUUUGUCAUUAGGUACUUUUUAAAAACCACAAAUAAAUAAUGAUUUAAAGUACAUGUACAUGUACUCUAAAAGCACUUACCUAUAAACGUAAUACCGUAAAUGUAUUAAUUAAUGUUUUGACGUUUUGUGACUUACAAUCUUUUGUAAAAUCUUCUUUUUUUUAAAUCUUUUUUUUAUUUAUUUUUAUUUUUAUGUGGAAAUAAUAGAUCUGGAUAAUACUGGUAUUUAAACUUUACUAUCUUUUUUUUGCUUCAUAGUUUGGGGUAGAAGUGAUUUUUUUUUAACUUUAACAAAUCUGGAUAAUAUAAAUUAAAUUUAAAAUUUUAUUUAUUUAUUUAUUUUUAUGUAACAACACCCCAGUACAUUGUUUAUUUAUUGAUUAUUUAUUUGUAAAGGAAUUACAAGUCUUUAAUGGAUUAUUAUUCUAUCAAGAUUUUAGAUCUCAUUAAUUUGGGCACAACUGUUUUUUUGUUUGUUCUGAGCACUCUUAGAUCUUGUUAAUAUAGUAAUGUUAUUAACAGCUGGUAAAGAUGUUGCUGAUAUGCAUUUCAGGUUAUAUCAGUCAGAUUAAGUUUAUUAUUGUUGUGGUAUUGAAGUAAUAUAUUUUUGAGGUUAGCAUAUAACAUUGUUUAUACUCAGUUUGGGCUGGCUUGUUUUGGGUAUAUAUAUUUUUGAGGUUAGCAUAUAACAUUGUUUAUACUCAGUUUGGGCUGGCUUGUUUUGGGUAUAUAUAUUUUGGGCACAAUGUUUAUCGCAUCGACUUUGGUGCAAUCAAAAAGCCCCAUCUAUAUAAAGUUAUAUAAUUCUGAAUCUUGACCAAAAGUAAAUGGAUCUUGACCAAAAAUAAUUGAAUGCCUCAAAACAAUUUCCUCAAUGUGUUUAGAUAUGUAUUAUGGCUGUUGAGUGUUUUGCUGUAAGAUCCAGCAUUGAGACAUAGAUGCAUGCACACAUCAAAACAAAAUCUGCACACUACAAUAUUUUUUAAUUUAUGUAUUUUUACAACUUUAGCAUCCAUGAGAUAUAUCUAGAUUAGGUGUAGCUUAUGUUUGAGACAUAACAACCACUGAAUAAACAGGGUCUACUGGGGUGUCGUUACAAAAAGUCCUUUCCAGGUAAUGUAUUCAGACUCCUGGAAAAAAUUAAAAAGAUCCUGGAAAAUGAACCAAAAUGGUGCUUAAAGGUCCUGGAAAAUGAAAAUGUUUUAAGUGUAUGAACCCUUGUUUGAAGUCUGUAUACUAGAACAACCUAUUACGCCUUACCUUGGUCUGUUGUGACAUAUUUGUUUCAAUGAUGUUGAUCUCAAAUGCCAGUUCCUGAUGUUGGGUGAAUUAUCUUGCGUUAUCAUGUCUGUAUAAUAUGAAGAAUUUUAUUUUAUUAUGUUCAGUAUUUAGUAUGUUAUAUUUGACUGGAUUGUGCAAUAUUAAUUUAUGUAAAAUGUUUUUUUAAUGUAAUUUAUGUAAAACUUAUAUUUAUUGAUGUUUAUCUUUAACACUUUUGUUACAUCUGUUACCUCCUUAAAAAUUGUUUUGCUUUUUUAGAAGUUUAAACCAAUUGUAAUUCAACCUUCUUGAUUUUCCAUUUCUUUUUCCAUCUCUAUUUGGAUUUAUUUUUGUUGCAACUUAAAAAUGGCUGGGAAUAAUAGGUUAUUGUAGGUAGCAAUUUAGCAAUAAAUUGUGAAUAUUUGUGGUUAUUAAAUAUUAAUUUAUUUGAUGAGACUAAAUUGAUGUUGUUUUUAAAAUGUAUAAAUGAAUUCAAAUAUGUCAGUAGUAUUUUAAAAAAUUUAAAAUUGUAUAUCCAGGUGCUU